GCGGAAUCAUGAAACCACUUAUAGGUGGGCCAGUGGUAGGAAGGAUUUCGGGCUGAGGGUGAAAUUCCCAAUAAUCCCGGGUUCGAAUCCCCACGGCUGCAAACACCUUAAGUGGCCACCGC
rnacentral:pre_miRNA from 1 species